UAUUGGACAAUGGGCGAAAGCCUGAUCCAGCAAUACCGCGUGUGUGAAGAAGGCCUUAGGGUUGUAAAGCACUUUCAAUUGGGAGGAAAACCUGCCGGUCAAUACCCGGUAGCUUGACAUUACCUUUAGAAGAAGCACCGGCUAACUCCGUGCCAGCAGCCGCGGUAAUACGGAGGGUGCGAGCGUUAAUCGGAAUUACUGGGCGUAAAGCGUGCGUAGGCGGUUCGUUAAGUCAGAUGUGAAAGCCCUGGGCUCAACCUGGGAACUGCAUUUGAAACUGGCGGACUAGAGUUUAGUAGAGGGGAGUGGAAUUUCAGGUGUAGCGGUGAAAUGCGUAGAUAUCUGAAGGAGCACCAGUGGCGAAGGCGACUCCCUGGACUAGAACUGACGCUGAGACGAAA
rnacentral:rRNA from 1 species